rnacentral:rRNA from 1 species
UACGUAGGGGGCAAGCGUUGUCCGGAUUUAUUGGGCGUAAAGAGCGUGUAGGCGGCCUGAUAAGUCGGCUGUGAAAGUCAAGGGCUCAACCCUUGAAUGCCGGCCGAUACUGUCAGGCUAGAGUCCGGAAGAGGCGAGUGGAAUUCCUGGUGUAGCGGUGAAAUGCGCAGAUAUCAGGAGGAACACCUAUGGCGAAGGCAGCUCGCUGGGACGGUACUGACGCUGAGACGCGAAAGCGUGGGGAGCGAACAGG